rnacentral:rRNA from 1 species
GACGAACGCUGGCGGCGUGCUUAACACAUGCAAGUCGAACGGUGAAGCGCCUUCCUUUUUGGUGGGUGUGGAUGAGUGGCGAACGGGUGAGUAACACGUGAGUAACCUGCCCCCUUCUUCUGGAUAACCGCAUGAAAGUUUGGCUAAUACGGGAUAUUCUGGGUCUGUCGCAUGAUGGGUCUGGGACAGAUAUUGUUUCGGUGGGGGCUGGGCGCGCGGCCUAUGAGCUUGUUGGGGGGGUGAUGGCCUAGCAGGGCGGUGACGUGUAGCCGGCCUGGGAGGGUGGACGGUCAGACAGGGACUGAGACACCGCUCGGACUGCGACGCGGGGCAGCAGUGGGGAGGAGGGAGCAAUGGGCAAAAGUCUGAUGCGGCGACGACGCGGGAGCGAUGGAGGCCCGCAGGUUGUGAACGUCUUUCGCCAGUGAAGCGGGUCCGCCUCGGAUGUGGGGGGGUUGACGGUAGUUGGUAAAGAAGCGCCGGCUAACUACGUG